GGAUCUUUACUGAUAUUAAUCGACCAAUUUUGAAAGUUGGUAUAUGGUCAAAAGACCAAAGAUCUU
rnacentral:tRNA from 1 species